rnacentral:rRNA from 1 species
GUGGGGAAUUUUGGACAAUGGGCGCAAGCCUGAUCCAGCAAUGCCGCGUGCAGGAAGAAGGCCUUCGGGUUGUAAACUGCUUUUGUACGGAACGAAAAGGCUCUGGUUAAUACCUGGGGCUCAUGACGGUAUCGUAAGAAUAAGCACCGGCUAACUACGUGCCAGCAGCCGCGGUAAUACGUAGGGUGCAAGCGUUAAUCGGAAUUACUGGGCGUAAAGCGUGCGCAGGCGGUUUUGUAAGACAGACGUGAAAUCCCCGGGCUCAACCUGGGAAUGGCGUUUGUGACUGCAAAGCUGGAGUGCGGCAGAGGGGGAUGGAAUUCCGCGUGUAGCAGUGAAAUGCGUAGAUAUGCGGAGGAACACCGAUGGCGAAGGCAAUCCCCUGGGCCUGCACUGACGCUCAUGCACGAAAGCGUGGGGAGCAAACAGGAUUAGAUACCCCAGUAGUCC